rnacentral:rRNA from 1 species
CCUACGGGAGGCAGCAGUGAGGAAUAUUGGGCAAUGGAGGCAACUCUGACCCAGCCAUGCCGCGUGAGUGAAGAAGGUUUUCGGAUUGUAAAGCUCUUUCGGAUGUGACGAUGAUGACGGUAGCAUCUAAAGAAGCCCCGGCUAACUUCGUGCCAGCAGCCGCGGUCAUACGAAGGGGGCAAGCGUUGUUCGGAAUUACUGGGCGUAAAGGGAGUGUAGGCGGUUUAGUAAGAUAGUGGUGAAAUCCCAGAGCUUAACUUUGGAAUUGCCAUUAUAACUAUUAGACUAGAAUUACAGAGAGGAUAGUGGAAUACCCAGUGUAGAGGUGAAAUUCGUAGAUAUUGGGUAGAACACCAGUGGCGAAGGCGACUAGCUGGCUGUACAUUGACGCUGAGGCUCGAAAGCAUGGGGAUCAAACAGGAUUAGAUACCCGAGUAGUC